CUGGGCUAGAAUGCCUCUGACAACCCUAGAGAUAGGGCUUCCUAGGGAAACCUAGGCAGAGUGCAAGGUGCUGCAUGGCUGUCGUCAGCUCGUGUCGUGAGAUGUUGGGUUAAGUCCCGCAACGAGCGCAACCCUUAUCGAUAGUUGCUAGCGGUUCGGCCGAGCACUCUAUUGAGACUGCCGUUGACAAAACGGAGGAAGGUGGGGAUGACGUCAAGUCCUCAUGGCCUUUAUGUCCAGGGCUACACACGUGCUACAAUGGCAAGUACAAAGCGCUGCAAACUCGCGAGGGGGAGCCAAUCGCAAAAAGCUUGUCUCAGUUCGGAUUGGAGUCUGCAACUCGACUCCAUGAAGCUGGAAUCGCUAGUAAUCGCAAAUCAGCACGUUGCGGUGAAUACGUUCCC
rnacentral:rRNA from 1 species